rnacentral:lncRNA from 1 species
AUAAAGCAUUAAGCAUAAGGAAUAAUCAAAGAAACUAACUUCGUAAUUCAUAUAUCAAUUCAAAUGAGAAUCACAUAGUUCAAAAGAAAUAAUAAUCAAAAUCUCCUAAGGACCAAUCAUGAGAAUUAGUUACACAUAGUAAAAUAAAGAAACAAAGGGAAGAAGAAAAUUGAACCAAAGAACUAAAAUGAGUCACAAGCUUGCAACCAUAUUUCAAUUCCUCGUGAUGCUAUUUUCAUUCUCCAUCUUGUGCACUGUUCCUCCGUUUUCUCUUUCGUUCGUGAUGCGUGCCUCUUGAUCCCCUCUUUUCCUUUUGUUCCGGCCUUGCUGCGUGUUCCUUCCUAAGUGAUGUGUUUGAAUCCCCUUUUCAAGUGCCAACCUAAUUCCCUUUCUUCUUGGUUUUGGGUCAAGGCAAAUGGCCCAUGUUUUCUUCUUGUAAUUGGCCUAGCUUUAUCAAGGUCUUUCUCUUCUUUUACUAUUUGUACCACACUUAACCAUAAACCUAUUAAAUUGAAUCAAGAAAAUAGAAACUACGCCAAAUAUUAUUUUAAUAGAGAAAAACACUUAAUUGACUCAAUAAACCAAAAAUUGCAAUUUAUUUAAAAUGAUUCUAAAUUAAACACUAAGCUAAUAAAAUUAUAUUAAAAACUUAAUUAAAAAGACUCUAAAAAUAACGACUGAUGAGGAUUCAUAACAACCCCAAACUUAAUCUGUUGCUUGUCCUCAAGGAACAAUGGUUUCAAAAGUGUGCAACUCAACCUCAAACACCAAACCAAACAUUCAUGUUAAUCUAUCUCCGUAAUCAAUAAGAACAAAACAUGUCAUUUUACAAAAAUUAUCAUGCUCAAGGCCACUUUCAUCUACUAACAACCAAUGAGAAAUUCAAAACAAUUCAUCCAACAUUCAUCCAUCAAGAUCAAUUCUCUCUUCACACAAUCUCACCAAAAUUCUCUCAAGUGUUUAGGGACAUACACUCAAUCAACACAAUCUACACCUUUCUACCAUAGGCUUGCAAGGACUCUAAAAAUCAAUCGACAUACAAUGAAUAUGCACCUUUCGAGGACUUUUCGGGUUAUAGCGUAGCUUAAGUUUAUUGAAGGGUGGAUAUUUUUGGGAAACUAGGUAGAAAAACUUGAAGCUUAUAAGAUCACCUAUUUCAAGCAAAAGUGGACAUAUCAAUUGAUCCCCCAAAAUCAUCACAUUCAUACUAGAGAACUUAAUUAUCACAAUAUGUUUUUUUUCUUUUCCUCAUGCAAAUGAAUUCACAAUGUGUGAACUCAUUCCAUGCUCACAUUUUUUUUUCACAAAGAAGUCCCUCGACACAUUGUUUUAUUCAUUUUUUUUUUACACAUGGUGUUAUGCAUUUUGCAUUCUCUUUAUUUUUCAUUUCUUUCACCAUUUUCUUUCUUUCACGAGGGACAUUCUCUUCAUUUUUUUUUCACAAACUUUUUCAAAAUAUUUUUCUUUUAGUUCUCUAGUACCCCACCCCAAACUAAUAGGUUGCAAAUCCCAAGAGCAACCCCAAACUUAAUGAUGAGCAUUGUGCUAAAAUCACAAGAUAGGUGAUCAACUUCAAGAAAAUCAUUUUUUUUUUAUUUCUUUGUGUUGUAAAAAUUAUGUGGUUUUCAAAAAGAAGUAAGAUCAAAACAUUUUUCUUUCAAUAAGGCUCAAAGGGGCUAGCAAGGGAUAAUAAUAUUCAAGGGUAGGCUACAAAGACUCAAGCUCACAAAAACAUGCCUCGGUGCAUUAUUCAUCGCAAUC